UACGUAGGGGGCAAGCGUUGUCCGGAAUCAUUGGGCGUAAAGGGUGCGUAGGCGGCGCGGGAAGUCGGGGGUGAAAUCUCGGGGCUUAACUCCGAAACUGCAUUCGAUACUGCCGUGCUUGAGGACUGGAGAGGAGACUGGAAUUUACGGUGUAGCGGUGAAAUGCGUAGAUAUCGUAAGGAAGACCAGUGGCGAAGGCGGGUCUCUGGACAGUUCCUGACGCUGAGGCACGAAGGCCAGGGGAGCAAACGGG
rnacentral:rRNA from 1 species